GCCCCGGUGGUGUAGUGGUAGAGCACGCGUCGCCGGAUAGAAUAAAACGCGGGUUCGAUUCUCUCCUGAGGCA